GGGGAGGGUGGGAACAAGAUGGAAGUUGGUAUACUUAAACAUUAUUUUAAUUCAUUUGUCAUCAUCCAGAAAAUGUGGUGUUUGGGCAAUUUUGAAAGUGUUCUAAUAGCUCACUUUAUUCCUUUUCAUAGAAAUUAACAAGUAAUCAUGAAAGCUGUAUUGUAGGAGCCCGAAAUGAAGCCUACUUCCUUUACACCUGUGUUGGUUUGAUGGGGCAGCUUUAAGUUGGAAGCUCUAAAUAAAGCUGCCAUACUUAGCUAUUGUAUACCUCUUCACAUCUAGUAAGUUUCCGAAGCAUUUUCCUCCCCCUCCUCCUUCUCCUCCGUGCCCUCUUUCAUUCUCCCUGGCUCUGUGUGUGUGUGUGUGUGUGUGUGUGUGUGUGUGUGUGUGUGUGUGUGUGUGUAUGUGUGUGUGUGAGUCUCACACCUAGCCAGAGUCAAAGGAUUCUUAAUAAGAAGCAAUCAAAAGCAAUCCUCUCUGCUGGCCUUACAUAAGAACCACCCAGCAGCCGGUCUCCUGAGCCAUCCCUGUCACAUUCUCCUGUCUGCUGAAGACAGGAACAUCACCGAGAGUUGCUGGGAGAAGAAUGACUCACAGGUGAUACCCACCACACACGUUAUCCUCAAGGUUGGAAAUAACCACCAAUAAAGGAGCCAGUCAAGAGAGUCCAAGGUAUACUAGAAAGCAAGUGGCCAGUAAAUCCGAAGACCAGAAGCUUCCAAGGUGGGGGAGGCUCAUGAUCCAGAGCCCCAAACGAUUACCUGACUUGCAAGCAAGCAACCAUUGAGACCCAGGAUGAAGUCAGGAAUGGACAUGCCACAACGACAGCCCAUAGGAAUGGACAAUCCACGACAGCCCAUAGGGUUGGACAUGCCACAACGACGGCCCAUAGGAAUGGACAUGCCACGACGAAACCCCUUCACCUUGCUGAUCUCUAACUCAAAGCCACUCUGCUCCAGGUGAAGCCUCUGCCUUCACCUCUGGAUAAGGAUUCCAUACUUGCAUCUUUAAGCUAGUUCGUGGGCAUCUCUACGGAAGCCAUCCGCAGGCAUCUUACAGACACAAGAUCAG
ensembl:lincRNA C730036E19Rik RIKEN cDNA C730036E19 gene